rnacentral:lncRNA from 1 species
UCUCAAACCCCUGACCUCGUGAUCCACCUGCCUUGGCCUCCCAAAGUGCAGGGAUUACAGGCGUGAGCCACCGUGCCUGGCCAGAAGUAGAGCUUCUAAGAGGCAGGUGUCAAACCCAUGCCAGUCAGACUCUGAAACCUGAGGUCUGAAUAUUUUAAGCUCAGCUCCACAAUUACUGUAUUUGUUCUAUUAGAUACAACUGCAGAGAGAGGCCAAAGCUCAGAGCAGGCCAUUGGCACGGCAUCUGAUCCUGCUUAACUGCCCUGCAGCACAGGGUGGAGACACUUGGGCCUUGUCAGGCUAAGGGACUGGGGUAGGAUGGGUAGCAGUGGAAUUGAAGACAAAGAAAACAAAUGGGCAGAAGAUGGGUGGGUGGAAGUUCAGAGGGCUAUCCUGGCAGUGUUCACUGGAGCAGAAGUGUGAGGCUUUCUGAAUGCCUGCUGACACCAGGGUGGGGCAGGGCUGUGUAGUGUGAGAUGCACCAAAUUGGACGAGAAGCCAAGGCAGGCUUGUGUAUGGGGUACCCUGGGGCCCUCCGCCUAGUGAAGCCCUAUCUUCUCAGCCCAGCGUCCUCGUCUCACAAGCCCUCAGAGCCCCAGCCUGCUUUCCUUUCUGGGCCUGUGCUGCAACCCCCUCAACAUGGCCCACUGGGUAAAAAUUCAUGCUUCAAGACUGAUCCCCAAGCCUGUUUUGUAUUAUAUGAGUAAAGAAUUUUUUAAACACUUAUCCCCAGAUAAUGUGUAUUUAUUUAUAAAGUAUAGCCCUGUCUGCUUGACUAAUAUAUUAAAAAAGUGACCUUUUUGACUCUUGGUCCAAGAAACUAUUGUUUGCACUUUUGUGUAGUUGUGUAUAGCAUCCUGCAAAUUCUGUCAGAAGUCUGUGAUUUCAGUAACACUAAAACUUCUCUCUCAAAUGGUACAAGUUUUCAGUUUUAAGACAAGUUCUGGGAAUCUAAUGUACAACAUGUUGACUAUAGCUAAUAAUUCUGUAUUGUUUACUUGAAGUUUGCUAAGACAAAUUUGCUUAAGUGCCCCCCCACCGAACUACUACAUAAAUUAGUGAAGGAUGUUUUACUUAAUUUGAUUUUGGUAAUCAUUACACAAUGUAUAAUUAUAUCCAGUCAUCACAUUGUACACCUUGAAUAUAUAUAAUUUUUUGUCAAAUAAUAAAGCUGGGAAGAAAACGAUAAAACUGACAAUCUAACAUAUAUGAUGAGGUAAAAAGAUCUGGUAUUUCAAGAAAUUUGGAUGACCUCUUGCACCCCACUUCGCUAGCCUCUACUCCCUAGAGUCAUGUUCUGACUAUGUGAAGUUGAGCAACUUCCUUAAUCUUGCCACGCUUCAGUUCUUAUCUGUAAAAUAUGAUAAUGAAACGAUUUGAGAAUUGUGAGGGUUAAAUGAGAUAAUUCAGGUAAAGCUCUAAACCCCCUGCAAAGAAUAAAGUCUUUUCUUUCCCCCCAAAA